AUUGAACGCUGGCGGCAGGCCUAACACAUGCAAGUCGAACGAGUGGCGGACGGGUGAGUAAUGUCUGGGAAACUGCCUGAAGGAGGGGGCUAACUACUGGAAACGGUAGCUAAUACCGCAUACCAUCAGAUGGGCCCAGAUGGGAUUAGCUUGUUGGUGGGGUAAAGGCUCACCCAGGCGACGAUCCCUAUCUGGUCUGAGAGGAUGACCAGCCACACUGGAACUGAUACACGGUCCAGUUUCCUACGUGAGGCAGCAGUGGGGAAGAGGGCACAUUGGGCGCAAGCCUGAUGCAGCCAUGCCGCGUGUAUGAAGAAGGCCUUCCGGUUGUAAAGUACUUUCAGCGGGGAGGCGUUACCCGCAGAAGAAGCACCGGCUAACUCCGUGCCAGCAGCCGCGGUAAUAC
rnacentral:rRNA from 1 species